rnacentral:rRNA from 1 species
CCUACGGGAGGCAGCAGUGGGGAAUAUUGGACAAUGGGCGCAAGCCUGAUCCAGCAAUGCCGCGUGAGUGAUGAAGGCCUUAGGGUCGUAAAGCUCUUUUACCAGGGAUGAUAAUGACAGUACCUGGAGAAUAAGCUCCGGCUAACUCCGUGCCAGCAGCCGCGGUAAUACGGAGGGAGCUAGCGUUGUUCGGAAUUACUGGGCGUAAAGCGUACGUAGGCGGUUAUUCAAGUCAGAGGUGAAAGCCCGGGGCUCAACCCCGGAACGGCCUUUGAAACUAGGUAGCUAGAAUCUUGGAGAGGUCAGUGGAAUUCCGAGUGUAGAGGUGAAAUUCGUAGAUAUUCGGAAGAACACCAGUGGCGAAGGCGACUGACUGGACAAGUAUUGACGCUGAGGUACGAAAGCGUGGGGAGCAAACAGGAUUAGAUACCCUGGUAGUCCACGCCGUAAACGAUGAUAACUAGCUGUCCGGGCACUUGGUGCCUGGGUGGCGCAGCUAACGCAUUAAGUUAUCCGCCUGGGGAGUACGGUCGCAAGNUUAAACUUAAAGGAAUUGACGG